rnacentral:rRNA from 1 species
GAUGAACGCUGGCGGCGUGCCUAAUACAUGCAAGUCGGGCGAACAGACGAGGAGCUUGCUCCUCUGACGUUAGCGGCGGACGGGUGAGUAACACGUGGAUAACCUACCUAUAAGACUGGGAUAACUUCGGGAAACCGGAGCUAAUACCGGAUAAUAUAUUGAACCGCAUGGUUCAAUAGUGAAAGACGGUUUUGCUGUCACUUAUAGAUGGAUCCGCGCCGCAUUAGCUAGUUGGUAAGGUAACGGCUUACCAAGGCAACGAUGCGUAACCGACCUGAGAGGGUGAUCGGCCACACUGGAACUGAGACACGGUCCAGACUCCUACGGGAGGCAGCAGUAGGGAAUCUUCCGCAAUGGGCGAAAGCCUGACGGAGCAACGCCGCGUGAGUGAUGAAGGUCUUCGGAUCGUAAAACUCUGUUAUUAGGGAAGAACAAAUGUGUAAGUAACUAUGCACGUCUUGACGGUACCUAAUCAGAAAGCCACGGCUAACUACGUG